rnacentral:lncRNA from 1 species
UAGUUGGUGGGCCCCACCCUAAAAGUAACAGCCGAUGCUUGAUGCUCCCAGAUAAGCGUUGAAUUAUGUGGGUUGUUUGUACUGUUUGCGGGUUCUACUGACACGUGGCAGCCCACAAUUGGUGAGUUUUUUUAUUUAUUUUUUUAAUAAGAGAAAAGAAAAAAAAUAAAAAAAUAAGCACUCCAUUUGGAGGGCUAAGACAAAGAUGCUCUUAGAGACCAAUCCCUAAUAUAGAAAAGAAAUAACGUAAGUAAAAAAGAAACUCCAAUACCCAACAUUAGGGGGGAUGAACCUAAACCAAAAUGGAGAGAAGAGCAACAACAAGAAAUAUGAUAUUCACACCAAGAAACAAAGCUUGGCA